UCAUUUUUUUUUAUUUUCGCUCAUUUUAUCUCAUUAACAAAUCUUGCCUUUGUUUUCUUUCAAUUUACUUUUUUUAUCAUUCUUUCAUUACAAGAUAGGGUAAUAUAAAAGAAUCAGAAUGAGAAGAUUUUCAUUGGGUAAGACUGGAAGGAUUUAUAUAUGAAACAUGAUCAACUCUCCGUGAUUGAACCUCUGUGGAUGAGUA
rnacentral:lncRNA from 1 species